rnacentral:rRNA from 1 species
UACGGAGGAUGCAAGCGUUAUCCGGAAUCAUUGGGUUUAAAGGGUCAGCAGGCGGAUUGUUAAGUCAGGGGUGAAAUCUUACAGCUCAACUGUAAAAUUGACUUUGAUACUGGCAAUCUUGAAUCAUUAUGAAGUGGUUAGAAUGUGUAGUGUAGCGGUGAAAUGCUUAGAGAUUACACAGAAUACCGAUUGCGAAGGCAGAUCGCUAACAAUGUAUUGACGCUCAGGGACGAAAGAGUGGGGAGCAAACAGG